UACGUAGGGUGCAAGCGUUAAUCGGAAUUACUGGGCGUAAAGCGUGCGCAGGCGGUUGUGCAAGACCGAUGUGGAAUCCCCGGGCUUAACCUGGGAACUGCAUUGGUGACUGCACGGCUAGAGUGUGUCAGAGGGGGGUAGAAUUCCACGUGUAGCAGUGAAAUGCGUAGAGAUGUGGAGGAAUACCGAUGGCGAAGGCAGCCCCCUGGGAUAACACUGACGCUCAUGCACGAAAGCGUGGGGAGCAAACAGG
rnacentral:rRNA from 1 species